CACUAGCCCCGGUAGGAGCGGCAUCCUUUGUCUUUUUUUUUCAAAAAGACAAAGAUAUAGCGGAUGACGGGACAAAUC
rnacentral:sRNA from 1 species